rnacentral:misc_RNA from 1 species
GAAACGCGAUAGUUAAUGUGAAUUGCAGAAUUCAGUGAAUCAUCGAGUCUUUGAACGCACAUUGCGCCCAUAGGUAUUCCUUUGGGCAUGUCUGUUUGAGCGUCAUUACAACCCUCAGCUAACCGCUGGUUUUGAACCUGAACGGGUGACACCGCGCCGGUUUUAAAGUUGUAAGCUCUGCUGGCCGCUCUGCCCAACCAGAACAUAGUAAGCACUACUUGUCCGGGUGAAGCUGUACGGUACGGCCUGAACAAAACCUACCCACUCUCAAGGCUUGACCUCAGAUCAGACAAGGAUACCCGCUGAACUUAAGC